CGUAGAGAAAUCGAGUCUUAAUAGGGCGUUUAGUUGCUGGGUAUAGACCCGAAACCAGGCGAUCUAUCCAUGAGCAGGUUGAAGGUUGGGUAACACUAACUGGAGGACCGAACCCACUGUCGUUGAAAAGCCAGGGGAUGACUUGUGGAUAGGGGUGAAAGGCUAAUCAAGCCUGGUGAUAGCUGGUUCUCCCCGAAAGCUAUUUAGGUAGCGCCUCGGACGAAUACCAUAGGGGGUAGAGCACUGUUUCGGCUAGGGGGUCAUCCCGACUUACCAAACCGAUGCA
rnacentral:rRNA from 1 species